rnacentral:rRNA from 1 species
CCUACGGGAGGCUGCAGUAGGGAAUCUUCCACAAUGGACGAAAGUCUGAUGGAGCAACGCCGCGUGAGUGAAGAAGGGUUUCGGCUCGUAAAGCACUGUUGGUAGUGAAGAAAGAUAGAGGUAGUAACUGGCCUGUAUUUGACGGUAAUUGCUUAGAAAGUCACGGCUAACUACGUGCCAACAGCCGCGGUAAUACGGAGGUGGCAAGCGUUGUCCGGAUUUAUUGGGCGUAAAGCGAGUGCAGGCGGUUCAAUAAGUCUGAUGUGAAAGCCUUGGGCUCAACCGGAGAAUUGCAUCAGAAACUGUUGAACUUGAGUGCAGAAGAGGAGAGUGGAACUCCAGGUGUAGCGGUGGAAUGCGUAGAUAUAUGGAAGAACACCAGUGGCGAAGGCGGCUCUCUGGUCUGCAACUGACGCUGAGGCUCGAAAGCAUGGGUAGCGAACAGGAUUAGAUACCCCAGUAGUC